GGGGAAGCGGCCAUGGCACCCGGGCGGGGCCGGGAGCGGGGACCUGCUCCCUCCUCCGCAAGAACUGGGGUCAGCCCCCCCUCCAGCAGCUCGGGGACCCUCCCUGCCCCCCAGAUAAUUUGGGGUCCCUCCCAAAAGGACUCCAGGGUCUGCUCCCUGCCCUCUCCCCCCCGGAAUACUUGGGGGUGCCUCCAGGGCUAGUGUGGGGUCCCUGCCGCUCCAUGCUGGGAUCCCUUGCGCUGGCCCUGGGGGCCUCAUGCCACGGCAAGGAGGAUGGAGGAGAUGUUACAAAGAGCACCAGAGGACAUGACAGCAGGUGGGAGUGCUACCAGGGCCUUCACGGACAACAGAACAAGGUUGGCAACAAGCUUGGGUUGCUACAGACAACCCCACAUGGGGAACUUGUGCGCUGAAUGUAAGACAAAGCUUCUGGUGGAUGUGAUUUCCUGUCCUGGGACAUCUGGCAGCUGUGCUAGCAGCACCGAAGAACUGUUGAGCGACAGAGCCAGGCUGAGAAACCACUUGCUUUCUUCUUCAGCCAGAGACGACAACAAAAAUCACAAAGCCGUGCGAUGCAGCACAGAGAGGCGCUGAGCUCAACAAUAUCAAACACGCCUUGGACAGACCUGGCUCAGUGAUCAUGGUUUGUCUUACUGUCAGGCUGUGUCUCAUUGCACUACAGCUUAGUGCCUUUCUUCCUCUUACUGAGUUUAAAGGCAUAUGUAAUGAAAUAAAAAAAUAAAACAGGUCCAAUCACUUUAGCACGCAACCAUCAUUAAGGCAUAUGUUUUGCAAGAUUUUUUUCCUUUAAAAAAUAACAAAAAUAUCUUUUUUGGUUCCUUUCCAGCAUUCACUUCAUGCUGUUUUACAACCUUUUCAUCUUCACAGCUGCAGCCAGUGCUCAGAGAACGGAGAACCCCCACUGCUUUCAACCCAGCAGCCUUGUGGGAGCAGUGAUACUGCUCGGUUUCCAUACUCCACAUCUCAAUAGCCAGUGAUCCUUUAUGAAGUGCAAACGAACUUCAAUAGCGCUCCAUUUCUUAGCAACGCAGCUUAGCAGAUCGCCCCAUCUCAAUACAAAUAUCAAACUAAUCUCACAACUGUUUGAAGAACCCGAGAACUGAUUUAACACUCAAAACCCUCAAGGGGAAAAUGGAGGACUGUAGCAGGUGCUCCCUCCCUGCCAGCAGCAGAAUCACUGCCUGACAACAGAGCUACUCCACAUUGAGCGUUGUUUUUAUGUUCAUGGCUGCCAACUCUGCCACGAAGUAGCGGAAGACGUGCGGAACAGGGACAACCUCGAUGGUGUCAGACUCGCUGCAGACAGAACACGAGUAUCUCCUGUUGCUUGCCACAGAGGAGGAAGACGCAGGUUGUUCAAGCAGAGGAGAUGUCAUACUUCCACAGCUCAUGCAGACAUAAGCUACGGAGCCAUCAGAGCAGUUGAACAAACGGUCUUGCAGCAAGAAAGAUGUGCCGUGAGCUAACAAAGCAUCACGUUCCAUCUCGCCAAAGCGAAUGCCACCUUCCACAUUCCUCCCCUUGAUGGGCUGGUUGGUGACGCUGUCUCGGGGCCCUGUAGUCCUCACCUGGAAUUUGUCUGAGACCAUGUGGCGCAGGCGUUGAUAGUACACGACUCCCACAAAGAUCUCCGCCUCCAGCUCCAGGCCGCUGACUCCGCUGUACAUCUUCUCAGUCCCAAAGAAGUUAUAACCUGCACCCAGUAGAGUCUCACCAAAGUAUUUCAAAGCGGAGUUCUUCUCUGUGAAGGUGAACGGAGUGGCAUCGUAGCAGACCCCGUGCAGUGCCGCGGACUUCCCUGCCAUGCUCUCGAUUAACAUCCCAAUGGUCAUACGGGAAGGAAACCCAUGAGGGUUAAAGAGGAUGUCUGGAACCAUCCCAUUCUCUGUGAAUGGCAUAUCCUCAACUGGCCAGAGCUGGCUCAGGAUGCCUUUCUGUCCAUGGCGGCUAGCAAACUUGUCUCCUACAGUUGGAUUUCGGGGAACUCUCACAGUGAUGCAAGCCUUCUUGAAUUUCCCAGUGCCACGGUCAUUACUGCACAACCUGAUGUUGUCUACAAUGCCCAUUUCCUUAUUCCUGUGUAGGUGGGGAAAGAAUCACAGCAAAAGUGUCAGGUGGGCUAAUGAUUUUUAGCUAGGAAAAGGAAUUGAAGGAAAACAAAACUGCUUUGUAAGUCACAUAAAAUGGCUUGGGACUGCUGGGGAUCAAUGCAUUUCUUGAAAAAUACCAUUCAGUAGCGAGGGAAAUCAGACUGCUAAAGAAUUAGAGCUAGAGAGCAAUACACAGGUGUCAUGCAUGUACCUUGGUUUGCUGUUUCUAACUGGAAGCUAUGACUUUCAGGUAAUCAAAUAACAUCAUCCAUGAUUUAAAAAAACAUUUAAACCUAGUACAUCUGUAUAGCACCUGAUCUGACAAGCUGAAUCCCAAUGCCCAUUUGUUUUGUUUUAAGGAAGGCUCCCCCUGCAAUAAAUUCACACUGUCUUGGUGGAAUAUUGAAAUAAAGAACUGGGGUCAGUACAAAGAAGAGAGGAAAGCUCAGAGGAGGAAGGGAAGGCAUGGUAAGAGCUGACGUGGCCUUUGCCAAGAAGCUCCUCUGUUCAAUAGCAUGCAGCUUCUCCAAAUGAACCAUCCAUCAGCUUUACAUUUCACAUGUUAGGUGCUUGGUGCAGGCUUAAUAUUUGUUGUGAAGCUUUCAGCACAAACUAUCUGCCCAUUUUGGAGACAAUUAAAGAAUAAAUAGACUUUGCCCAAAUAAAGCCAGAGUUACUUUUUUCCUUUCCUUUGAAGAUCCUUUAAGUUUUUGCAGGACUGUAACUGGCUUAGAGCUAUUCUUUUGCAGUGUCCAAAUGUAAGCAAGAUAGAGGCCAUCACAAAAAAGAAAAACUGAGCUUCAUAAGCCUCUUCCAAGCUUGUUCAAAAGUUUUAAGUCAAAGCCUCUCCCCUCCAUCUCUCCCUAGCCACACAUUAGAUCUAGCAGUGUAUGCAGCACACCUUUAUGGCAGUGAGAGAACUCUCUCUAAGGGCCUUGGGUCUCUGAGGCAAGCUGGGGGCAGGAACCAGCAUGGAGGGCAGGAAGCCUUCCCUCUCCCUAUAUACCUUAACAACCAUGUGAUUUGGAGACAGAAUAGACAAAAGCUGAAGCACAGAAGCAAAAUGGCUCUCUAGACAAGGAGCCUGAACUAAGACCAGGCUGGCAUGACAGAGCUGGGGAGCAGGAGCACAAGGUGAGAGAGGAGCCUGCCAAAGUAUGAUUAGAGAAAAGGAACAGACUGAAAUUCCUGCAAUCCCCCACUGCCACGUGCUGAAUCUCUUUGCAACUUAGCUCUGCUCUACAACCAGGAUUCACUCUACCCACCCACAGCAACCUUGCAGUGCAGCUAAAGACACCAUUUAUUAUUUAGUAAUAAAAAAUGACUUUCUCA